AUGGGAGCAGUCUUGUCCAUCUCGACGAUGAACAACUAUGCGCAUCGGAGCUUACCUGCUCCUACUCAUGGCACCGCCGAUUGGCCUGGCCUGCCGGAGGAUCUCCUGCUGACCGUCAUGGCGGCGCUGGAUGUCCCCAGCAUUGUCCGGUCCGGCGCCGCCCCUUACCUGCUCUAUGCCUGUGAGGAGUACGGGACCGACACCGCCGCCCUGUACUGCCCUUCCAGCAACACCACGUUCCGCGUCCCCUUCCCACGGCCCCCCGACGAGAGACGGGGUUUCGUCUCCUCCUGUUACGGCUGGGUGUUCGCCACCAACGAGGCAAGCGACCCGUACCUCCUCAACCCUAUGACCGGCUCCCGCGCCGCGCUCCCACCGUUUUGGACAAUCUACCACGGGAGGAGCCGCUAUCACCGCGACCAGAAGCGUGCUUGGAUGGCUCGACUCAAGAACAGAGUUCUCGACCCAUCACCCACCUGGGCGCAUCAUUCGGGGUAUAACCGGGUUGCCAUAUCCUCCACCGCCGAGCUGUCCAAAUGCACUGUCCUAAUCGUGCACACGCCGGACAAGUGGAGGCUCUCCUUCGCUAGGCCGGGUGACAAGGAGUGGACGUUGCUCCCCGGCCUAUGCUCCCAACACGUUCUUUACAAUGACAAGGAUGACAUGUUCUAUGCCCUAGGUCUUGAUAGUUCAGUUUCUACUAUAGAUCUCAAUGGGCCUUCGCCGAUUGUAACCGUGAUCAUGCGUGGCGUGUCAGCCUGGGACAGCCCUACCAAGUAUUUCGCAUUCUCGCCGUCAGGUGAACUCAUGCAAAUAUGGAGGAUCUACAAUUGCGCAAAUAUUCCAGUCAAAUAUAUGGUGGAUGAAGAUGCCGUAGAUUUCGCUGAAUAA
rnacentral:rRNA from 1 species